rnacentral:lncRNA from 1 species
CAGAUCUACCACCUGACUUCUGGAGAAAAGGAGCCAUGCCCAUGCCUUGAAACACACUUGGCUCUACGGUCACUAGGAAAUUGAUAUCUUGGGAAGUGCUCUACGGGAAUGGUCAGGUUGGAGAGAGAGACUGACUGCCAAGAAGACGUUAAGAAUGACAGAGUGUGAGAAGCUGCGCAACGCCAGCCUUGGCACAGACAGCUACGCCAUCCGAGGCCAAAGUGUACCUCUAAGGGAGCCCCAGUGGUUGGACCAAGCUACCGGGUGGCCUCAGAGGACAGCGAGGGGGCUGAAGCCUGAGGAAUACCUCUUUCUUCCUGGCUGCCCAGAGCCCUGCCCUCAUGCUCACACCACAUUCCUGCAAGGAGACAUUGCCUUGGUCUGCUAGCCUGGACCCUCUCAGAGUUGGAAGGGCCUUUUAGAGUAAGUGACUUGCUGGACUCAGACCAGGGUGGCAGAAGCAGAAUCUGCCUUGGGCACCCCUGGAGUCGUUCCCCCUCUUCGGGCCUCCUUUUGCCCAUCUGCACAAAAAGCAUGUUGGGCAACCCAGAGCUUUGUGACGGCUACUUCCUCCACUGUGGCAAGCCAAGACCUCCAGCUCUGGGUGGCUGGCUUCAGAAUCAGCACAGCGACGCUGUGAUCUCAUGCUGAUUAAGAGCAAGAGAUAACAGCAUAGGUGGGGCUAUGUGGGCCUGGAGUCAGCCCCAUCAGGGUUUGAAUCCAUUUCUGUCACUAGCUAGCCAUGUGACUUUAGGCAGGUCACAACUUCUCUGAGUCUUAUUUAUAUGAUCUGUAAUAAUACCUCAUAGUGGCAUCCUCAGGAUCCAGUGAGACAAUAUGUGUGCAAAACAAGCGUUACAGUUCGCUCUCAACAAAUGUUCAUUUUGUUCCUUUAUCCUUUCCCUCUGAUUGGCAGGAUAUAUGUCUUCGAUUAAUAGAAAAUGGCAAAACAAGUUCCUUACCAUGUUCCAAGAUUAAAAAUGUAGAACAUGGGAACCUUAAGGAAAAAAAUUAUGUAAAAGGAUACUUGGAGAUAUAAAGGUGGCCUUGUCAAUAUAUUCAUUAAAUUUACUCUUGGCCCACCCAGCAAUAUAUAUGAAUGAGGUAUGGAUGAUCUUGUCCUUUGAAGGAGUCACAUCUAGUUGUGGAGAUAAACACAGCAGACUGUUACAAAAUUAUUUUGGCCCAGGCACAGUGGCUCACACCUAUAAUCCCAACACUUUGGGAGGCCAAGGCAGGAGCAUCUCUUGAGCUCAGGAGUUCGAGACCAGGGCAACAUAGGGAGGAUCUCAAAAAUAAAAGAACAAAAAUCUCCUUAUGUUGUCC